rnacentral:rRNA from 1 species
GAUCAUCGGACGGGGCCCCCCGCCCCCGACGCGACUGUCGACCGGGUCGGACUGUCCUCAGUGCGCGCCCGACCGCGUCGCGCGCCCGGGCGGGGAUCGGCCCGCGUCGCCGGCGCCAGGGGUCAGCGGCGAUGUCGGCAACCCACCC